UGCAAGUCGCACGAGAAAGUGGAGCAAUCCAUGAGUACAGUGGCGUACGGGUGAGUAACACGUGGAUCAUCUACCUCGUAGUGGGGAAUACCCCCGGGAAACUGGGGAUAAUACCGCAUAAUCCUGUGAAGGGAAAGCCGAAAGGCGCUGUGAGAGGAGUCCGCGGCCGAUUAGCUAGUUGGUGAGGUAAUGGCCCACCAAGGCGAAGAUCGGUAGCCGGCCCGAGAGGGCACACGGCCACACUGGCACUGAAACACGGGCCAGACUCCUACGGGAGGCAGCAGUGGGGAAUCUUGCACAAUGGAGGAAACUCUGAUGCAGCGACGCCGCGUGAGCGAUGAAGCCCUUCGGGGUGUAAAGCUCUUUCGACGGGAACGAUAAUGACGGUACCCGAAGAAGAAGCUGCGGCUAACUACGUGCCAGCAGCCGCGGUAAUACGUAGGCAGCAAGCGUUGUUCGGAAUUACUGGGCGUAAAGAGUGUGUAGGCGGUGUUCUAAGUCUGUUGUGAAAUCUCCCGGCUUAACCGGGAGGGUGCGGCGGAAACUGGAAUGCUAGAGGAUGGGAGAGGUAAGCGGAAUUCCUGGUGUAGCGGUGAAAUGCGUAGAUAUCAGGAGGAACACCUGUGGUGUAGACAGCUUACUGGACCAUUUCUGACGCUGAGACACGAAAGCGUGGGUAGCAAACAGGAUUAGAUACCCUGGUAGUCCACGCCCUAAACGAUGCAUACUUGGUGUGAGCGAUUCAUUUCGUUCGUGCCGGAGCUAACGCGUUAAGUAUGCCGCCUGGGGAGUACGGUCGCAAGGCUG
rnacentral:rRNA from 1 species